rfam:Bacillus sp. OV166 genome assembly, contig: Ga0115450_11
UAUUCCUUUAAUUUGGUCCAGAGAGGUCAAAAAGGCAAAAGUAAACUUCAUCAUACUAAUUAUGUAUAUGAAUGCCCUUUUGUCCUUUGGAUGAAAGGGCAUUUUAUU